rnacentral:lncRNA from 1 species
UUAUUUUAAUAAUUUUAAAAUUUAAUUUAAAAUAAAAAAAAUAAAAUUGAUUUACUUAUUGUAUAAUUGGUCCACGUGUAUGGGUAAUUAUUACCUUUUAUUUUAUUUUUUAUUUUGAAAAACAACUACCUUUUAAGAAUAUAUUUUUAUUUAUUUGUUGAAGAAAGAAGAAAAAGUUUUCAGAACGACACGAAUGGUCACACAUGUGUUUAAACCCUUUUUUUUAAUUAUUUUUGUUAUUUUUAAUACUUAUUAAAAAGUAAAUAAUAUAAAAUAAAUAAAUAAAUAACUAAAUAAAAUGAAAGGUAGAAAUAAAAUAAACUAAAAUUUAAAUGAUAAAAUAAAAAUAAUAAUAAAAAAAAACAAAAUAAUAAAUAAAAGGUGUGGUGGUGCUUAGAAAAGAAGAGGAGCGUUCAAACUAACUUAAUUCUUAUAACAGGCUGGCCAAAGCCCAAGUGGAAAGGUGAUAUGAAUAUGAAACAGGGGAUUGCAAUCCAAUUUUAGUUUUUAUAACCAGAUUGGGCCAAAGCCCAAGUGAAAAGGGGGUGUGCAAAUAAGACGGAGGGUUGCAAGGUGGAAAAGGGUUUUUCUUUCUUAGACAGAAUGGGCUUGAGCCCAGAGAGAAGGGGGGUGCAAGUGUGUGUAGAGGAAGACGGCAAAAAUUCCUUGCCUAUUUCGUUUCUUAAAACUCAGCCCAAAACGUAGGCCCAGAAGGAUUGGAACCUGUCCAACUCAAGAAACCCUUUAGGGGUUCUCAAAUCUUCCUCUCAUUUUGCCUAACACGAAUUGAAGAGACCUACAGUCUCUCCAGCGGACCUAGAGACCCCUGCUCUGCCGGCAACCACGAGUCACACCACCACCACCCGGCCAGCCACCGCGCCGCCCCCUCUACCUCGUCAACGGGCGUUUCCGGCGAAAUCAAACGCCGCCGGAACCACAGUGUCAGGCCACGACGUUCUCUCCCCUUCUCCCUCUCGCACUGGCUUAAGGUUGGGGCUUUUUCACCCUUGAACGCCGCCUGCCACCGUUUCUCCGCCACCGCCGUCAUGAGCCGCCGCCACAGAAACGCACCCAAGCCCUAAAACCGCGUCGUCUACCCUCAUCGCAAGCACCACUUAGACCGCCACUCUCCAAUCGCCUGCAGUCGUCCCCUGAAGCCACCACCGUCAACCUUCAAGCUGCCUCUAUCAACGCAUCACGCGCCACCACCAAAGUGAUCCUACCUCUUGCGGGUUCGUCUUUUAGCAUCACCACCGUGCCGCAAUUGGUUUUGUUCGCUUAAGCCACCGAUCGCGACAAAAUCUCCUCCAAUCAUCUCGAGCAAACCGUUGUGAAGACGCUGCCAGCUCCACGUACCCGCGGAGAGUCAUAAUGAUACCCUAAUCGCGUCACCUCCACUAGUCAGUGCCGCCGUUUUGCCUUCUGAUGGCCUUGGACGAUUUGCAGGUUUGGAUGAUGGUGUAAUGCAUGAGUUGGGGAAUGAAGAUGACACAUUGGUUGGUAUGCAGGGGUUUACGAAGAAGAAUGGAGAUGAAUUUGUGGAUUAGUGAUGAACGAAAAUGGCUCUUUGUGCUUCUUUAUGGAUUGAAUGAAAAUGGAGCUUGGUAUUGAGUGGUUGAAGGUAUGGUGGACGGUGCAGGGGCGCGUCUUCAUUUUGGUUCAAUGCAGGUAGGGUACAAGCUUGUGUAUGAGGCUGGAAAUUGAUUUUUGUUCUUUGGUAAUUGGUUUUAUUUUUGUGGCUUUGCGCAGUGCAGGGUGAGGGCGAUCCAGACUAUAUAAUCUACACGCUCUGUUUUGUCCAUUAACAGAGCACGGAUAGUGGGGAUAGUGAUGAAGAACGGGAAAAUAUUCAACAACAGUCAUAGCAGCAAUGCAACAAUAAUAUGUUCAACUAAAACAUGAAGUGCAAGGAGGCAU